UUGUGUCAAAAGCCAAGCCGUAUUUUCAAAUUUCGCCUACCGUUGAAACUAUAAAUUUGUAAAGCGGCACGAAGCAGUCAUAAGUUUUCAAUAACUGCUGAAGUGAGCGCGGGAUGUCUUCAGCAUUCUUAUAAAUAUCCAAGAGGCAGUCUAUCAAUGUAAAUCUUUGAAGAUUAUAUUGGGGACAGUCAAAGAAAAUGUGAUCAAGAGUUUGGAUGGAUAAAUUACAGAAUUGACAAGUUGGAGAAUCUAAAACACCGAUCCUAAAUAAAUGAGCACCACUACGAGAAUGUCCCAGACGUAACCGACAAAUUGUGGUGUAAAAUUUUCUGUGGACAUUUAAGGAUAGAAGAAUGGGUGAUAAUUGUUCUAAAUCAACAUUAUUAAAUGCUCCUACAACAUCCAAACAAACACCAGCCAAUAUCUUAUUGUCAAUCUGGGCACUAUGGAUGUCAAGACAUAAAUGCCGUAUACUCUCACAAGCAGAACGACCACAUCGAAACCCAAAUUGAUUAUUAGAUUGCUGUGUGGAGGAAUGUUGGAUGGAAUUGAAGAAGAUUCAGUUUCCGACACUACCAUGGAAAAUUUUGUGAUUGUAGGCAAGUGAUAGCUGCCCAAAGAGUCCUGAUGAACUUGCCAUUCACAGCACAGGAAUAAUGAAGAUGAUACUAUUGUUAGAUCUAGUCCAUUUGGUCUCCAAGAAUUAGUACCCACUGUAGUUGGUUGAUCAUUAUUUAAGAGCAUUAAGUCAUUAUCGUCCAUUACAUCCAUGAUGUCUCUACCUCUAGAAUUGGUUCUAUUACAACCCCAAAUGGUAUAGUGAGCAUUAAAAUCACCAGCAAUUAUUAGUGGUUUUGGAAUACUAUGCAACAGUCUAAUUAAAUUUAGAUUUGUCAAAGUUAGGUACACUGUUGCCAGGACUAUAAAAGCUAACAAUUGAGAUGUCUUUUUGUUUGUAUUUAAUUUUGAUUGCUACAUUUUGCAAGGAGUUAUCAGAAAAUGUUUCUAACUUUUGAAAAUAAAUGCCAUUUCUAACAAAAAUUGCUACACCAU